GUGAACGCUGGCGGUAGGCCUAACACAUGCAAGUCGAACGGCAGCACCGUAAGCGCUUGCUCUUACGGGUGGCGAGUGGCGGACGGGUGAGGAAUACAUCGGAAUCUACUUUUUCGUGGGGGAUAACGUAGGGAAACUUACGCUAAUACCGCAUACGACCUACGGGUGAAAGCAGGGGAUCUUCGGACCUUGCGCGAUUGAAUGAGCCGAUGUCGGAUUAGCUAGUUGGCGGGGUAAAGGCCCACCAAGGCGACGAUCCGUAGCUGGUCUGAGAGGAUGAUCAGCCACACUGGAACUGAGACACGGUCCAGACUCCUACGGGAGGCAGCAGUGGGGAAUAUUGGACAAUGGGCGCAAGCCUGAUCCAGCCAUACCGCGUGGGUGAAGAAGGCCUUCGGGUUGUAAAGCCCUUUUGUUGGGAAAGAAAAGCAGCAGGUUAAUACCCCGCUGUUCUGACGGUACCCAAAGAAUAAGCACCGGCUAACUUCGUG
rnacentral:rRNA from 1 species